AUUUGUGUUUGCAUUCAAAAUUCGGCCAGCACUAUCUCCCCUUUUCCUUCUUAUACAAGCCAUGCCUCCCACCUACCCCAAUCCAUAAAUGGGCAGCCUCCCAACCAACUCAAUCAAUGAGGAGGCUAUCUCCCAACCAACUCAAUCAAUGAGGAGGCAGCCAACCCACCCCCUCUCCCUCUAUAUAAAGGGGCUUGGCAGCCCACUCCCUCCUCACUUGCUCUCAUUUCCCACUCUCCACUCCUCUCCACUCCUCUCCUUUGCCUCAUUUCUUUUCACUCCCUACUAUUUUCUCCACUCCCUCACACUCUCCUCCUCCACUUCCCCACGAAAAUGGUGCUCCCCUUGCUCCCAUGGCCGGCCAUGGCCAUGGAAAGCCACCAAGAUGAAGCUCCCUUCCUCCCUCAAGCUCAUCCUCACCAUGAGAGCCUCCCCCUCCAUCUUCUCCCCAACCUUAGAUGGUUUAAUCUCCUCUUCUUCUCCUUCCAUUGCUAAGAUUGGAUCUUGAUGCAGGUGCAUGUUGGUCCAAGCAUGGAGAAGGUUGAGCUAUCCUCAGAUCUGAAGUUCUUGAGCAAAAUCCAAAUCGAGUGGUUCAAAGUUCUGCAGAUAGAUCAAAAUCUGGUCAGAUCUGACUUUGUCGAAUUAAACCAGGAGCUUGGAGACGAAUUUUUGAAUGAAACCAACUGGAUGCGAACAAUUCCGGAGAAGAAGAACAAGUGGAAUCGGAUGAGAAGAUUUUAUUUAUAUUGUUGGGAUUGUUAUAUUGAUGGAGUUGAAGAAGUACAGGGACAAAUAAGCCAAGAUCAAAAUCUGGUCAGAUCUGACUUUGUCGAAUUAAACCAGGAGCUUGGAGACGAAUUUUUGAAUGAAACCAACUGGGGGUACUUAGCUUGUGCCAUGGUGAUACCGAGAGAGGCAAUUGCUAAGUUGUGAUACUCUCAUACCUUUACUAGAUGCGAACAAUUCCGGAGAAGAAGAACAAGUGGAAUCGGAUGAGAAGAUUUUAUUUAUAUUGUUGGGAUUGUUAUAUUGAUGGAGUUGAAGAAGUACAGGGACAAAUAAGCCAAGACUUGAAGGAGUUCGACAGAUGAAGAAGGAGUUGGCGACGUCUAUGCGAGCUAGGAACGUCUUCCCAGUCAGUUGCCUGUAGGGUUAUGGCAGAUGACUUGGGCACUGCGCUGCUGAAGUGAUGAUGCUACUCUGAUGUUUAGUUAGGCCCUUCGAGGCUAUUAUGUAAGUAUUGGUCAUGUGACCAUGUUGUAAUUUUCUUAUUCCGCUUUGUAAUGGAUGGUGUAAUUUGAUAUCAGUUCGGUUAUGUGUUCACG